rnacentral:lncRNA from 1 species
UCGCAUCAUUUGAUCAAACCACUUGUAAUUGCAGGUGCACGCAGGCCUUGCUGUGAGUGCCUCUAGGGAGAUGGAAAGGAACAUCUGGUUAUGGCUCCAAGGUUUGCUGUGCAGUAGGGGAUGAUGGCUGAGAUGGCAAAGCAUCUGAGAUGUCAUGUAAUGGAUUUCAAGAAUAGCAUAUGUGAGAUGCACCCAAAAAGCCUGAAGGCUUGUGUUGACAGAGUUGAUGCUCCUGUGUGAGACUCGUGUUCUGUCUCAGCAACACAAGUCUCUCUCAAAAUUCAUCACUGGGAAGGCAAAAGUCAUCUUCAAGCUCUAGCAUAGCAACCUCCAAGAGAGGAUAAUCGUUAUCCUUUUCAGAAUGAGGCCCAAGAAAUCCGGAAUUCUCUACACAAGGCAAUGGUCUCACAAGCGGACAACUGCCUCGGCAGAGAAAAAUGAACAGGCACCAUUCCAAGAUGAAGAACGUCCCCAAGGUGGUUUUGAGAAGGCCUGAGCAUGCAGCAAGAUGGUAAGAAUGGAUGAGAG